rnacentral:rRNA from 1 species
GUGGGGAAUCUUGGACAAUGGGGGCAACCCUGAUCCAGCCAUGCCGCGUGAUCGAUGAAGGCCUUAGGGUUGUAAAGAUCUUUCAGCUGGGAAGAUAAUGACGGUACCAGCAGAAGAAGCCCCGGCUAACUCCGUGCCAGCAGCCGCGGUAAUACGGAGGGGGCUAGCGUUGUUCGGAAUUACUGGGCGUAAAGCGCACGUAGGCGGAUCAGUCAGUCAGGGGUGAAAUCCCGGGGCUCAACCCCGGAACUGCCUUUGAUACUGCUGGUCUUGAGGUCGAGAGAGGUGAGUGGAAUUCCGAGUGUAGAGGUGAAAUUCGUAGAUAUUCGGAGGAACACCAGUGGCGAAGGCGGCUCACUGGCUCGAUACUGACGCUGAGGUGCGAAAGCGUGGGGAGCAAACAGGAUUAGAAACCCGGGUAGUCC